AUAUGUCUUUAUUAAAAAAAAGCAAUAUUAAUCUUACAAUAUUACUUAAUACUACAUUGCCAAGAAGGCGAAGAUUAGCUUAAAGCUACUCUUUAACUCUUAACCUUCCUAACAUUCACAGUUUAAAUGGAGAAAACGAGAAAAAAAAAACAAAAAAAGAAACAAGUAUAUAUAAAGUAUUUAUCUUCUAGAACACUAGACUAUAUUUUGGAUUGAUUUAAAAACAAAAGUUUAUAAUAUUUCCUAUACACAUUUAACGAAGUAUUAAAUAUUGGUUUAUAAGUAUUAAAGAACUUAACGGCAUUAUAAGUAAAAGAUCGCUCGAAUAGAGCCGUGGAAUGGUGCGGCAUGGUCAAGAUAUUGUAUCUAAUAUUUCGAGUGUGAACAUGGUUUCUUGGUAUUAACUUUUCAAAAAGAUAUUCAGGUCUUUGACUAACAUAUAAUCGAUAAAGAAAAGUAGAAGUGAAGAAUUUGAAUAGGUAAGGUAGCGUUAACCACCUCAACUGAAGUAUAGAGUCUGAUACAUGAUCAAACUUUCCGAGGUUAAAAAUAAAUCUACAGCAAGUAUUCUGCACGCGUUGCAGGCGGUAACGAUUUAUUUGGUCUAAGCAAGGAUAAUAAACUAUAAGGCAGUAAUUUAGAAUAGAUAAAACAAGAGCCACUACAAGUUUUUUCCUAGUUUUAAAAUUUAAAAUGUGUUUAUUGGUAUAAAGCAUACGCAUGCGUAAAUAACACCUCUGCAAAAGAGUAUUAACAUGUUCCUUAAACCUUAAAGAAUUGUCUAUUGUAAGUCCCAGAACCUUCACAGUAUCAGAGAAUAAAAUAGUUUCGUUAUCCAAUUGAAUGUGAACAGUUUCCAUUAUAUUUUUAUGUGAUCCUCGGUUUGAAAACAAAACCAUUUUUGUUUUAUUAGGAUUAAUGACAAGGUUAUGCUCUUUUGAAAAUUGAUUUAUUACGUUCAGAUCAGCGUUAAUAGUAUCAGCCACGUUAUCAAAAUUAGCAGAGUCAAAAUAAUGUAUGUAUUGAGUAUCAUCAGCAUACUGAUGUAUUUCAGAAUCUUCAACUAGACCGGGUAAAUCUGAAGUAUAUAUAAGAAAUAAUAAUGGGCCUAGGAUCGACCCUUGUGGGACACCAGAAAUAAUGUUUUUCGAAGCAGAAUAUUCAUUAUUCACCCUCACUUUCUGGGUUCUACGCCAUAAUUUCGCUACAAGCAAAUCAUGAUCGAUGACAUCAAAUGCUUUCGAGAAAUCAAGGGCUAUCAUAAUGGCUGAAAUCUUUUUGUCAAGAGCUCGCAUGAUAUUAUCGGUGACGUUUAGAAGUGAACUAGCUGUACUAUGAUGUUUUCUAAAACCAGAUUGAUGGGAAGGGAGGAUAUUAUUUGACAUUAAAAAUGAUGACAGCUGCAUAUAGACUAUUCUUUCGAGAACUUUGGAGAUUACGGGAAGCAAACUUAUCGGACGCAAAUCUUCAAUACUUUCAGGACUGGAGGAUUUGGGAAUCGGACAUACCACUGAUUCACGCCAGGCCGUAGGAAAAUAUCCUACCUCCAAACAACAAUUUAUAAUAUGAGUGACAUGAUCCAGUAUAUCAGGGAGACAUAAGUGUAACAUACGUCGAGUUAUGUUAUCCACACCAGAGGCAUUGGACCUAAUAUUUUUUAUAGUUUUUUCGACAGUACUUUGGUCUACUAACGAAAAAUGAAAAUUAUCCUCGGUAAAUUUAUUACUGGAGUAGAAGUUAAUUUUGUUUACACAUUUAUCAGAUUUAUUAAAAACACUUACAAAAAAAUCAUUUAUUUGAUUUGGAUCAGAUAUAUUAAACGGCAGCUCGUUAUUA